GCGGACGGGUGAGUAACACGUUGGUACCUGCCCCGAAGUGGGGAAUAACUGCCCGAAAGGUUAGCUAAUACCGCAUAAGCCCUACGGGGGAAAGCAGGGGAUCGUAAGACCUUGCACCGAUGGAUGAGCCGAAGUCGGAUUAGCUAGUUGGUAGGGUAACGGCUACCAAGGCGACGAUCCGUAGCUGGUCUGAGAGGACGACCAGCCACACUGGGACUGAGACACGGCCCAGACUCCUACGGGAGGCAGCAGUGGGGAAUAUUGGACAAUGGGGGAAACCCUGAUCCAGCGACGCCGCGUGUGUGAAGAAGGCCUGCGGGUUGUCAAAGCACUUUUAGUGGGGAAAGAAAUGUUCAGGGUUAAUACCCCUGGAUCUUGACGUAACCCAAAGAAAAAGCACCGGUAACUCUGUGCCAGCAAGCCGCGGUAAUACAGAGGGUGCAAGCGUUAAUCGGAAUUACUGGGCGUAAAGCGUGCGUUAAGACGGUUAUGUCACGUCGGGUGUGAAAAGGCCCCGGGGGCUCCAAACCUUGGGGAAUUUGGCCAUUCCGGAAAACUUGGAUUAGCUAAGGGGUUCACCGGAAAG
rnacentral:rRNA from 1 species